GCGGAGCCGGGCCCCGGCGCGGCCGCGGGCGGAGGAUGCGGGAGAGGUCGGCUGUUCCUUUAGAAGAAGAGCAGAAGGACUAUUCUGUGUAUGCCUAGUCCUUCCCUAAGCAUGUCCUCUUGGCCACUGUCCCAUUUACUCUCCCUAAGGAAAUGUUUGCCAUGCAGAAGACAUAAAAGAACUUGUGUCUCCAGAUGAAAGAAGAGCAAAACUACUUAAAAAGUCUAUCAUUUGAAGAAUACCUGCCAAGUGGAGCAUUGACUGAAGCAAUCUGAAUAAUGCCUGCUGUCCCCUGGAGACAUCAAGGGUCUGUGCAUAUGGGACCAGAGAAUGCUGAGGGAUGGAAUCAGCCUCAGAGAUAUCUCCUCUCCUACAAAUCAAGCCAGAUCCUUUUGCCUUAUGCUCUAGCUCUGGCAUUUUAAACCAGAUCUCUCAAGUAACCCAGUAUGACCAAUUCUUCCAUUUUCUUGAGGAAACCAAAGAAGUAUUGGCUAUUUUAAUGUAAAUCCAAUGUGAGAAGCUAUAGCAUGCAAGUUGUAAUUCUUUACCACAGCACUAAGGAAUGUAUUUUUGCUUCCAGCAGACAGAUCCCCAUUUCUCAAACAAUCUGUCGUGUUGUCUGCUGUGAGACAAGGUUUGGCUCUGGAAUCAGCAUGGUACAGCUGGGGUUGUGCUGUUGUUUAGGUGCAAUGCUGACAUUUUUGUCCUUUGUUGUACAGAUACCAUGGCCCUACCAAGCUCCUAAAGAAGAUAAAAUUGAAGCUGUGCUUUUAAUCUUGUUCUGUGCUGUAUUCUUGACCAUGUGAAGUCUCAGGAAGUAUGGCCUUCUAAGUGCUAAGGUCAAACCUUUGUCACAGGUGCCUCCAAAUGCUCGUGAUUCCAUGUGUUUUACUUUUUUCACUCUCAGUGCAAUGGAUGUUUUGAGAGGCUCUAAAAAAUGCUUUUUGCAGUGUAUUAAGUAGUCAUACUUCAGUCAUCAAAACCUUUCUUGAAAGCUACCCCAUGGUAUGAGCACUGUUCUUUAGAACGUGUUGCCUAAAAAGUCUGAGCAAACUCUUGGCUGGUGAAGGCAACGUGGGUUCAGUGGGGUUUAAGGGAGUCUGCUGAGUUCUUUGUAUGGCUUUUGGGCCUCGGGACAACCAGGAUAUGGGUUAAUUUAAAAUAACAUUAAAUCAUCCAUUUAGAAUCAAAUUUUAUUAGUUAAAAAAGUACUUAGAAGCAGUCAUAGACUCUGACCUAUGUAUUUAUUGGCUGUUAUGGAUUGGAAAUACACUUUAUUGCUAUUGUUUUAUUAGUUGCCUACUCAAAGUUAGCUCAGUAUUGAUAGAAGCACUCAAUGGACCCAAAAUACAGUGUCAUAUCUCACAUUAUGAACCAAGCCUCAGAAUUUGCUAUCAUACUGAAAAGUUUCUGUUGCUCUAAAUUAGUUCUUGGCUUUUUAUUGAGAGAACUACAAUUUAAAGUGAGCCUAUGCUUAUUUUUUUUUCUUCAGCAACAUAAACAUUCCAAUAAAUAUUUGUCUUUUUUAUAUGAAUGUCUUCAGAACAUCUGUUAAUUGAAUCUUUAUUUGAAUCUAUUAGCAGUAGUUUGUUUUAAGCCAAAAAGACUAAAAAAAUUAAAAUAGAUUGUCUGGAUGGCAGCCAGUAUCUUCUCCAAAGUUACACCUUUUUAACUUAAAUUCAAUUUAUUUUUUUCCCAUUAUUCAAAGUCAGUUAGGAGUAAAAAAUUCAAAAGACAAACACUGUAUUGAUACAAAAUAUUUAUUAAAAACAUUAUUAUUUGGCAUUUUGCCAUUUCUGACAUUUAAAACAUUUACUUGUACAACUUCAAAUUUAUCUUAAUGUAUUUCUAAAGUAUUGUGAAAUUGGAGAUAAACGUUUUCAGUAAUACUUCAAUGCACUCUUGCCUAUUUAUUCCUUGCAGUUUACUUAUAUUACAAACACUUCCACAAAUCAGUUAAAUCCGUUGUUGCCAAUAUCUAUAAAUAUAUGUAUAAUACAUGCCUUCUCUUGUAUUUCUCUUUAUGUACUUUCAAUUUAAUUUAGCAGUUGCCAAAGACCACUCAUUAAAAUGUUCCAAAAAUGGGUUCUUUAUCCUAAUUGUUAAAAAACUGCUUUUAAUACAGGUUUUUCCUCUCAAAUAUUAGAGAACAGGAGGAAGCAUAAAGAAGGAAAAGUUAGUGUAACACAUUAUGUCUAUAAUAUCAGGCACAGCAUAAUUUACUUUAUUUUUUUUUUCUUUCCAGGAUAGGUGUUGUUUUUAGGGGUUUUUUGUUUGUUUUGUUGUUGUUUUUUGGUUUUGGUUUUUUUUUCCUGGACAUCAAUUUAUCCUGUAAGUGAUUGUAGACCAAGGAAAUUUUUGUAAAUCUCUAAAUUUUGCCAUAAGAGGGCAUUAUUCAUGCACUUAGACUACAAAAUGCAUCUCAAUAUACACACAAACGUUAUAGGAGAUGGUAAUUAUCCACACUCAUGAACCAGCGAAGUAAAGAAUAUUAAUAUUUCUGUAAUUAGGAAUACUUUAAAGAAGUUACUGGGACAGGGAUAGUUCACUGUCCUGUGUUCUUUUCCUAGAUAGUCUGAAGAUGCAAGAGGAGACCAAAGAAGAGGCAAAGUACUGCUUUUGCAGUCAGUCUGGAAAUUACCACCUAAGACAACAAUACCAAAGGUGGUUUCUCAGCUAUGGACACAAUUCAGGAAGUAUGCCAAGGCAAGGUUAGCAUUAAGCACUUGUUCAUGCCCUCCAGGAAAAUGGAAGUUAAGGAGUUAGAGCAUCUGUAAGACAAAGGACAUGAAUCCUUAAGUUCCUGCUGGAAAAUGACAGGAGUUUUGUAAAAUUCAUCAGAUAACAAAUACUUGGAAUGAUGGACUGGAGCCCAGAUAAAUUCCAACAUGCGAGCUGGUGUCUUUAUUUGGAACAGGUUGAAAUCAUACUGCUCCGUGACUGGCUGGUUUUGGGAGUGCUGUCCUUGUUCCACUUGUGGAAUGACUAGUGGAGCUGCUUGUGUGGAUUUACAUACAUGUCUGAACAAAACUGUGUGAUUUUUAUUUGUCAUACAUACAAGCAGCUGCUCCUCCAAAAUUCUUCCUGCAUUUUUUUUCCUGAUAUUUGUUGAUACUGCUGUAAUUCUAAUUGUUAGCUACAUGCUUGAAGAUCAAAACAAUAAAUGGCAAAUGGAACUCAGCUGGAGAUGGGUGUCCACUAUUGUUUGUACCUGUUUGGGAGCAGGGAGCUUCUGCCAGGUAAUCUCUUUUAUACUGCUAGCAGGUUUACAUUAUCUUUUAAUGGUAAUAAUUGUAAUAAAGUGGCAGUGUGCCUCUUCUGUAGUUUUAAUUCCCUAUCAGAAACACUGUGCAUCCUGGGAACACGAAUUAGUUACAGAUUUCAGGGGGUUUCAGUGUGUUUCCAGUACACAUUUAAAGGUUUUUUUUUUCCCAGUACCUUUAAACUCACAACUGCUUUGUGAAAUGUUAUUUUAGUCAUUUUAUUGAAAUUGUCUUGGAAACGGGCAGUUUCAUGUAUGAAACUUUCAUGUAUGAAAGAGCUGUUACUACUUUCUCAGAAGAAAAUAUUUUUCAUCACUUCAAGAGUCUCUGAUUUCCAUAGGCCAGCAGAGACACUUUCCUUCAGUCUCUUCUGUGUCAUUGAUCUAAAGGAAAGCCGCAGCCUUCUACAGGCUUCAGACUUGUACCCAGGUGUCCCAUUCUCUUGUUUCUGCCUGGCUGAUGGAACUAGUUUUAUUCAGUCUGGGUCUGGUAAUAAAAAAAAAGUGAGACUGUCAAGUAUCUUCUAUUCACUGUUGUGGUUCUGGACUAAAAGCAAGCAAACAACAAACAAACAAACAAACUUUUCCCCAGCCCACACCCAUGCAAAAACCUGAUACAAAUGUACAACUCUUUAAGUUUCUUCUGUGAUCCUGAUGGUUAAAUCCUGUGUGUCACAACUUCACCUCCCUGCCCAUGUGCCUUAGCUUUACCUGCCACAGAAAAGGAGACAAGGAGACUCCCUCACUACAUGUUUUCUCCAGCUUCUCUAUUUGAAUGGGGAUCUUUCCAGAAAGGAUCUGUCUCUCAAUGACUUUUUCACCUAAUGCUAUAUUGCCUUUAGGUGUUUUUUGAAAGCUAAUCCAUUAUGACUCAAGGAAAACUGAAAAGCUCUUAAGAAGCCAUCAGCAACGUUCACCAGAGCAUACCUGUUUUUGAUGUCAUAUAAAUCUACUUGGUCAGAGACAGUGUCCCACAUUUGCUGUAUUUGUGUGAGACAUCUUUUCAAAUCCAGAGAAGGCAUGAAAGUAGCAACCUGGCUAAACUUGGAAGGAGUCACUGCAGGAAAAAAAAAGAUUUAUCGAGAGUAUUUUCUAUCAUAUUUCAAACUCUGUCUGCAAGCAUUCAAAGUACAAUUCUGAUAUGCAAAAAUCCCCAAAUCUUUUAAAGUGCAAAUAGAUAUUUUUGAGCCAUCUCAAACAGCCUCAUUCAUGCUUAUCUUCAUCUUUGGGUGAUAACUGGUUAAAAUAUUUUUGAAUAAUGAAGGCAUUGUCAAAAAUCAAGCCUAUUCACAAAAGGUACUUGAAAAGAAAAUUAUGCUCAAGUUGUUGAAUACAUUUUUCAUUCUGAAUAGUUUGUCAGACUAUUUGCAUCUUAGGGAGGAUGUUGAUUUCCUAGGUGGUUUUAAAAUACAUGUCACUUUGUAAAUAUUUAAAGAUGCUAAUUUUAUAUUCUUAUCAUAGAAACUACUUUUGGACAACAAUCUUUUAAAGCAUCUUUGUUAAUGAGGAGGUAUUUUGAAAUCUCUGCUGACUACUUCACACCUUGUUUGGUGGUUUACACAGGUGCAGGGUGAUGUAAGUCAAAAGAGAGUGAUUUAACUUUUAAGGGAGUUUUUAUGAUCCCUUUAUACAAUUGUAAUACAUGAGAUACAUGUGAUUUCCAUAAAUGGAGUUAGUAAUUUUUAUG